UCGUGCUUGACCUCGACGGCAUCCCCUGCAUCCCCACGGCCAUCGUGACUUUGCUUAGCGUGAGGUGGUUACAGGCUUGCGUCGUUCUGUAAUGGGAUGGGUGUAGGCUGGGCACCGUACAUUCCGUGCCUGUUCUGUUUUUGGUAUUGUUUUUGCCUAGGAGUGGUUUCAGAUAUUUUUAAAAGCCCAGUGCCUAUUAUGCCAUUCUACAGUAUUGACGAGCGCGCAUUGCAUGGUUAAUUGGAAAAGGGGUUUCCCUUUAUUCCCUUGCGGCUGGAAGUGGCGGACCUAGAAAUAAAAUGAUAGGUGUGCACCGGAAAUUGCCUUUGGCUCCCGAGCUUCAUGAAGGUCUUUAAAUUCAAACUCUAAAUUUUGUGCAAAUUCGUAUUUUAAUAUUUCAAAAACUCUGAUAAAGAAAUACAUAGAUAGAUGAAGGUAUAAUGCACAAGUGUGUAAAUUUUUAGAAUAAAGCUGUGCAAAAAAAGACAAAUCUGAAACUUUUAAUUACAUGUUACUACUCAUCAUUUCAGACCAUGAAUAUGUCUUUUUUUACAGGUCGCGUUUCAAAGUAUUUCGACCUGAAAUUUUACACGCAUACGGAUCACAUCCUUGUUUAGUUGUAUAUUUUUUCAGAUAUUUUGGAACUAAAAUUUUUAAAUUUUAAUUUUUUCAAAAAUUUCAGCCUCUAUGGCUUCCGGGAGCCAAACGUCUGUUCUCAGUGUGCACCCUUCACAAAAAAGUGAGAUGUAUUUUCCUUGGCUUAGAUGGGUCUUAAAAAUCAGUUAAUUAUUACAUGGUAAAAAAAUAUUCUUUAAAAUUCUGGGUGUGUCAUGGCACACCUGGCACACCCCCUAGAUAUGCCACUGGCUGGAACCGUAGCCGCCAUGAGGAGAGGAUAAUCUUCGAGCGCUGUCCAUCGACGGUUUUCCUCCGCCGGCGAUCUCGGUCGCCGGUGGUAAGGAGGGUCGCCGGAUUCACGUGUGUGGAUUGUUUUUAGUUUUUGUAGUCUAGAUUUUUAGGUUGUUCAUCGUCUUGGCUUCGGCACAGGCGAUGGUGACGCUGAAUAAUGAUUAAUCGGAUCCUUUUCUGAUAAGGUUAUCGGUCCUAUGAUUGGGGAUAGAUUUAGAAACUAGUCUGUUCUAGCAAGGAUGGCGUAGCGGCGGCGGCAUCUUCGUGGUGGACCUGUGUCCUCGGGCUCCGUCGUUGCGAUGGUGUUUGCUCCAGCGUCGGCGCGGAGCUUGGGAGGUAGUCCACGAGCGGAUGCAGAUUGUGGUCUGCAUCGACGACAUCUGAAAGACGAAACGUGUGCUAGGUUCGUGGAUGGCAGGUAUGGUUUCCUACUUCGACGUCUUAGUCGUGGUGGGGUGCUAGACCUAGAGUUCGAUGGCGUGUCCAGGGUGUUGUCCCGAUCUGAUUCGUUCAAUGACAAGGGCUUCACUUUUGGUGAGCCAUCUUGGAGGUGCGCAACGAUGGAGCCGCGCCGAGCUCGGGUGAGAAGGUUAUUCAUCAUUCUUUUUAUUCAAUGGCUGAUGUGGUGGUGCCAGAGGCAGGUGAUGGACGUUGAUGUCAAACUCGCAGAUGUUCUUCUAUCUUUUCAGUUUUGUCAUGUCGAUCUUUAUGUGACUUGUAUUUUAAUUUUUAUGAUAUGAACGAGACACAUAUUACCAAGAAAAAAAUUGGAAAACGUUUCCCGACGGAUGACCGUCGCCCCUGCUCGCUCGCCUUUGAAGCAGAAGCAAAGUGGGUUAGAUGUGUUGCAUGGGCCUCAAACCUUGCGUGGGGCGCCUAUGUUUGCAUUUUUACUUCAUUGCACAAAACGGCAUUGGAAAAUUUUUGCUAUAGCUGGUGUCACGCCGUGCUACAACCAGUCUUUCGAAAUGCUGCAUAGGCUAGGAUAGUAUUGGGCAAGGACGAAUGGCGGCUGUCAUGUGUUUUGCUGCAUUGUUUUUUUGUUAUAACCAACAACCAUUUUUGCUACAACCAUGUUGUUUUUUGUUGCAAUCAUGCUAGCUUUUGCUACAACUGGUGUAGCAAUUUUCUGGAACCGGGGUAGCAAUUUGCUGGAACCGGCGUCUCAUUCUGCUACAAGACAUAGCCGUCGUCGAUUUUUUGCUACAACCAUGUUAGCUUUUGCUACAAUCGGCACUUCGUUUUGCUACAACGCAUCACCGACGUUGACAGAGGAUGAUGACGCUGCUCCGAUCAACACUUCCCUACUAUAAGCACCGUUUGUGAUACUACAAUCUGCAUCUCAUUUUGCUACAACCACGUCGGGUUUUUGUUACAACGCAUCGCCGGUGUCGAUUUCUUGCUACAACGACGUCCGCUUUUUGUUACAAUCCACAUUUUGUUUUGCUAUCACGCACCAUCAGCCUCGUUAUUUUGCUACAACCACGUUGAUAUUUUUGCUGCAUCUGUGGCCGAAUUUUGGUACAAUCGCAACUUGUUUUGCUAUCAUCAACGAUUUUUUGCUACAUGGUUCGACCUGACGGUCUAACAUAGUUCGAUCUGGCGGCUCAUGUAUGACCGACCCAUAGUUUCGGCUGGAGCGCCGGCGCCUAGCACUCCCCUUGUUAAUUUUUCAUACUCGCAUUGUGUGAAACGUCGGUUGCCAUUCGCAUUGAUCAUGUUAGAUGUAAAAAA
rnacentral:lncRNA from 1 species